AAUCAACGCUGGCGGCGUGCCUAACACAUGCAAGUCGAACGCGAAAGCCCCGCAAGGGGUAAGUAGAGUGGCAAACGGGUGAGUAACACGUGGGUGACCUGCCUUCGAGUGGGGGAUAACGUCCCGAAAGGGACGCUAAUACCGCAUGACAUCCUGCUUUUGAAAAAGCGGAGAUCAAAGCUGGGGAUCGCAAGACCUAGCGCUUGAAGAGGGGCCCGCGCCUGAUUAGCUAGUUGGUGAGGUAACGGCUCACCAAGGCGACGAUCAGUAUCCGGCCUGAGAGGGCGGACGGACACACUGGGAAUGAGACACGGCCCAGACUCCUACGGGAGGCAGCAGUGGGGAAUUGUUCGCAAUGGGCGCAAGCCUGACGACGCAACGCCGCGUGGAGGACGAAGAUCUUCGGGUCGUAAACUCCUGUCGAGCGGGACGAACGCUUCGCGGAUGAAUAAUCCGCGGAAUUGACGGUACCGCUAAAGGAAGCCCCGGCUAACUCCGUG
rnacentral:rRNA from 1 species